GCAGUCGAAUGCGCACGUGUGCGUGAUGUGUGGAACUUUCUUUGGCAAACUUUGUGCGGCUUUCCGAGUAGGGUACGUGGUAAAAAUUUUGGUCUUUACAGCGACACUGCCGUGUUUCCACUGCAAAGCUAAAUGUCGCCACUAGGCUAAAAUGUCACCGCGAAGUAUUACUGGUACGGCGCCCGUAGGUGCGCUGCCUUGUGGAUCGUGGUGGUUUUGGUGCAUUGCGGCGUUCGAGGUGCCACCAGUACUGCAAGGAUUACGCAAUGUUCCACACUUCUCGGGGCACCCGGCGAGAAGUUUCUGUCGCAAGCAUCUACGACGUGCUUACUUGCAAGUCCUGGAAGACUAAAGCAACAUGCUGCCUGGCGCCUGUGUUCGACGCAACGGCAAAGCUUGCGGCAGCGCCUGCUGUGCCUGGCUCGGCCGUCACAUGUUCGCGGCACCGCCGCGUGAAGGCGCCACGGGUCCAAACUCAUCCCAUGCCCAGUGCCUAUACCUGGCAAUUUGG